rnacentral:rRNA from 1 species
AACGAACGCUGGCGGCAGGCUUAACACAUGCAAGUCGAGCGCCCCGCAAGGGGAGCGGCAGACGGGUGAGUAACGCGUGGGAAUCUACCCAUCUCUACGGAAUAACGCAUGGAAACGUGUGCUAAUACCGUAUACGUCCUUCGGGAGAAAGAUUUAUCGGAGAUGGAUGAGCCCGCGUUGGCUUAGCUAGUUGGUGGGGUAAAGGCCUACCAAGGCGACAAUCCAUAGCUGGUCUGAGAGGAUGACCAGCCACACUGGGACUGAGACACGGCCCAGACUCCUACGGGAGGCAGCAGUGGGGAAUAUUGGACAAUGGGCGCAAGCUUGAUCCAGCCAUGCCGCGUGAGUGAUGAAGGCCCUAGGGUUGUAAAGCUCUUUCACCGGUGAAGAUAAUGACGGUAACCGGAGAAGAAGCCCCGGCUAACUUCGUGCCAGCCGCCGCUGUAACAC